AGAGUUUGAUNCCUGGCUCAGGACGAACGCUGGCGGCGUGCCUAAUACAUGCAAGUCGAACGCUGCCCNUGUUCCCCUUCGGGGGAAGAGGUGGCAGAGUGGCGGACGGGUGAGUAACACGUGGGGAACCUACCCAGCAGCGGGGGAUAACACUUGGAAACAGGUGCUAAUACCUCAUAGGCCUUUUUUUCGCCUGGAAGAAAGGGAAAAGGCGCUUUAAGCGUCACUGCUGGAGGGGCCCGCGGUGCAUUAGCCAGUUGGUGAGGUAACGGCUCACCAAAGCAACGAUGCAUAGCCGACCUGAGAGGGUGAUCGGCCACACUGGGACUGAGACACGGCCCAGACUCCUACGGGAGGCAGCAGUAGGGAAUCUUCGGCAAUGGACGCAAGUCUGACCGAGCAACGCCGCGUGAGUGAAGAAGGUUUUCGGAUCGUAAAGCUNCUGUUGUCAGCCAAGAAACAGGAAGAAGAGGGAAUGCUUUUUCUAUGANCGGUAUGCUGACCCAGAAAGCCC
rnacentral:rRNA from 1 species